CAAGGACCAAGAGGUUUUUCUGAAGGGCGACCAUUCGGCGGUGAGUAUAUCAACUCUGGGAUCAAAUACUCUCUGCUGAAAACGCCCAUUCAUGGAACACCAGACAUCUAUGUAUAUGGAAAUGUUGGUGGAACUCAAAGGACUUUGUCGUGGGUUGCGCUGAUGCUCAUAUUCGAUGUUGCGCUUUAUGCAAUGGGCAUACUGCUGGGCCAUAUCUGCAUGUUUUGUCCAACGAUCAUACUCGGUGAAGGCAUAAGGAUUUAGAUACAGUGUUUUAUUAUUCGAAUUAUCCACCACUUUAAUGGUGGUCAGAAUGUUGUUGUAGGAAUGUACCAUCAUGUCCCAGGAAUAGCCAUAAAGGCCAUUGGUCCAAUUGUUAUAGCCUUUUGUUAUGAAAUGCGAAUAGGGCAGAAAAAGCUGCAAAGCGCAAUAGAAGAGCACCAGCAAAGUACGAAAGUAUUGGGUUUUUGUGCUCCUGUGAGAAGAUGGUUGCUUACAAGUAUCUUCUGUAGCCAACUUCUUGUUGAAUAGUCUUAAAAAGGAUUGCAAAGAUUUUCUUGGACCAUCAAAGCCAAAAAACAUGGGAAGUUGGGCCAAACACACCCAUGGAAACAUUCCUAUCAUAUGGAAUACCAAGUUUCAAUUGUUUUCUAUAAACAAGGUGUGGGAGAAAAUCAAUGUACCUACCUAUAACAAAUAAACGUGAGUUCAUCAAAUGGAAACAAACCAUAAAUGGGGUGGCGAACGUUCGAGUUUUGCGGCAAGUCAUUAGGAAGGCAAUGUGAAAAUCGAACACCGCAGUAAACCAAUGAACAAUCAACAAAUCAACCAAUUCCUCCCGCAGAAACCAACGAAAUGGACUCAAGACCCAGUGUUUGCUCAACGAAGACAUGGCAUAGCCGGAUAACCACUCAGAGGUAAAUUCAAGGAACAAGCCACCUCCAAUUCUGCAUGGCUGCCAGUGCUUAACUCCAAAGUACUUGAGCCACGUCCCGGUGCAUGUGUAGAGGACACCACUGCUCUGCCCGAUUUAGUGCUUAAUUACAUACGUAAACAUCCCUUAAUGGACAAAGCCAU